UUAAGCGACUAAGCGUACACGGUGGAUGCCCUGGCAGUCAGAGGCGAUGAAGGACGUGCUAAUCUGCGAUAAGCGUCGGUAAGGUGAUAUGAACCGUUAUAACCGACGAUUUCCGAAUGGGGAAACCCAGUGUGUUUCGACACACUAUCAUUAACUGAAUCCAUAGGUUAAUGAGGCGAACCGGGGGAACUGAAACAUCUAAGUACCCCGAGGAAAAGAAAUCAACCGAGAUUCCCCCAGUAGCGGCGAGCGAACGGGGAGGAGCCCAGAGCCUGAAUCAGUGUGUGUGUUAGUGGAAGCGUCUGGAAAGGCGCGCGAUACAGGGUGACAGCCCCGUACACAAAAAUGCACAUGCUGUGAGCUCGAUGAGUAGGGCGGGACACGUGGUAUCCUGUCUGAAUAUGGGGGGACCAUCCUCCAAGGCUAAAUACUCCUGACUGACCGAUAGUGAACCAGUACCGUGAGGGAAAGGCGAAAAGAACCCCGGCGAGGGGAGUGAAAAAGAACCUGAAACCGUGUACGUACAAGCAGUGGGAGCACAGAGCAAUCUGUGUGACUGCGUACCUUUUGUAUAAUGGGUCAGCGACUUAUAUUCUGUAGCAAGGUUAACCGAAUAGGGGAGCCGAAGGGAAACCGAGUCUUAACUGGGCGUUAAGUUGCAGGGUAUAGACCCGAAACCCGGUGAUCUAGCCAUGGGCAGGUUGAAGGUUGGGUAACACUAACUGGAGGACCGAACCGACUAAUGUUGAAAAAUUAGCGGAUGACUUGUGGCUGGGGGUGAAAGGCCAAUCAAACCGGGAGAUAGCUGGUUCUCCCCGAAAGCUAUUUAGGUAGCGCCUCGUGAAUUCAUCUCCGGGGGUAGAGCACUGUUUCGGCAAGGGGGUCAUCCCGACUUACCAACCCGAUGCAAACUGCGAAUACCGGAGAAUGUUAUCACGGGAGACACACGGCGGGUGCUAACGUCCGUCGUGAAGAGGGAAACAACCCAGACCGCCAGCUAAGGUCCCAAAGUCAUGGUUAAGUGGGAAACGAUGUGGGAAGGCCCAGACAGCCAGGAUGUUGGCUUAGAAGCAGCCAUCAUUUAAAGAAAGCGUAAUAGCUCACUGGUCGAGUCGGCCUGCGCGGAAGAUGUAACGGGGCUAAACCAUGCACCGAAGCUGCGGCAGCGACACUAUGUGUUGUUGGGUAGGGGAGCGUUCUGUAAGCCUGUGAAGGUGUGCUGUGAGGCAUGCUGGAGGUAUCAGAAGUGCGAAUGCUGACAUAAGUAACGAUAAAGCGGGUGAAAAGCCCGCUCGCCGGAAGACCAAGGGUUCCUGUCCAACGUUAAUCGGGGCAGGGUGAGUCGACCCCUAAGGCGAGGCCGAAAGGCGUAGUCGAUGGGAAACAGGUUAAUAUUCCUGUACUUGGUGUUACUGCGAAGGGGGGACGGAGAAGGCUAUGUUGGCCGGGCGACGGUUGUCCCGGUUUAAGCGUGUAGGCUGGUUUUCCAGGCAAAUCCGGAAAAUCAAGGCUGAGGCGUGAUGACGAGGCACUACGGUGCUGAAGCAACAAAUGCCCUGCUUCCAGGAAAAGCCUCUAAGCAUCAGGUAACAUCAAAUCGUACCCCAAACCGACACAGGUGGUCAGGUAGAGAAUACCAAGGCGCUUGAGAGAACUCGGGUGAAGGAACUAGGCAAAAUGGUGCCGUAACUUCGGGAGAAGGCACGCUGAUAUGUAGGUGAAGCGACUUGCUCGUGGAGCUGAAAUCAGUCGAAGAUACCAGCUGGCUGCAACUGUUUAUUAAAAACACAGCACUGUGCAAACACGAAAGUGGACGUAUACGGUGUGACGCCUGCCCGGUGCCGGAAGGUUAAUUGAUGGGGUCAGCGCAAGCGAAGCUCUUGAUCGAAGCCCCGGUAAACGGCGGCCGUAACUAUAACGGUCCUAAGGUAGCGAAAUUCCUUGUCGGGUAAGUUCCGACCUGCACGAAUGGCGUAAUGAUGGCCAGGCUGUCUCCACCCGAGACUCAGUGAAAUUGAACUCGCUGUGAAGAUGCAGUGUACCCGCGGCAAGACGGAAAGACCCCGUGAACCUUUACUAUAGCUUGACACUGAACAUUGAGCCUUGAUGUGUAGGAUAGGUGGGAGGCUUGGAAGUGUGGACGCCAGUCUGCAUGGAGCCGACCUUGAAAUACCACCCUUUAAUGUUUGAUGUUCUAACGUUGACCCGUAAUCCGGGUUGCGGACAGUGUCUGGUGGGUAGUUUGACUGGGGCGGUCUCCUCCUAAAGAGUAACGGAGGAGCACGAAGGUUGGCUAAUCCUGGUCGGACAUCAGGAGGUUAGUGCAAUGGCAUAAGCCAGCUUGACUGCGAGCGUGACGGCGCGAGCAGGUGCGAAAGCAGGUCAUAGUGAUCCGGUGGUUCUGAAUGGAAGGGCCAUCGCUCAACGGAUAAAAGGUACUCCGGGGAUAACAGGCUGAUACCGCCCAAGAGUUCAUAUCGACGGCGGUGUUUGGCACCUCGAUGUCGGCUCAUCACAUCCUGGGGCUGAAGUAGGUCCCAAGGGUAUGGCUGUUCGCCAUUUAAAGUGGUACGCGAGCUGGGUUUAGAACGUCGUGAGACAGUUCGGUCCCUAUCUGCCGUGGGCGCUGGAGAACUGAGGGGGGCUGCUCCUAGUACGAGAGGACCGGAGUGGACGCAUCACUGGUGUUCGGGUUGUCAUGCCAAUGGCACUGCCCGGUAGCUAAAUGCGGAAGAGAUAAGUGCUGAAAGCAUCUAAGCACGAAACUUGCCCCGAGAUGAGUUCUCCCUGACUCCUUGAGAGUCCUGAAGGAACGUUGAAGACGACGACGUUGAUAGGCCGGGUGUGUAAGCGCAGCGAUGCGUUGAGCUAACCGGUACUAAUGAACCGUGAGGCUUAACCUU
rnacentral:rRNA from 1 species